UACGUAGGGUGCAAGCAUUAAUCGGAUUUAUUGGGCGUAAAGGGCGCGUAGGCGGAGAUGUAAGUCAGAUGUGAAAUCCCGGGGCUCAACCCCGGAACAGCAUUUGAAACUGCGUUUCUAGAGGGUAGGCGGAGAAAACGGAAUUGCACAAGUAGCGGUGAAAUGCGUAGAUAUGUGGAAGAACACCAGUGGCGAAGGUGGUUUUCGAGCUUAUACCUGACGCUAAAGCGCGAAAGCAAGAGGAGCAAACAGG
rnacentral:rRNA from 1 species